UAAGGAAUAUUGCACAAUGGGCGAAAGCCUGAUGCAGCAACGCCGCGUGAGUGAUGAAGGCCUUCGGGUUGUAAAGCUCUGUCUUCUGGGACGAUAAUGACGGUACCAGAGGAGGAAGCCACGGCUAACUACGUGCCAGCAGCCGCGGUAAUACGUAGGUGGCAAGCGUUGUCCGGAUUUACUGGGCGUAAAGGAUGCGUAGGCGGAUACUUAAGUCAGAUGUGAAAAUCCCGGGCUUAACUUGGGAACUGCAUUUGAAACUGGGUAUCUAGAGUGCGGGAGAGGACAGUGGAAUUCCUAGUGUAGCGGUGAAAUGCGUAGAGAUUAGGAAGAACACCAGUGGCGAAGGCGACUUUCUGGACCGUAACUGACGCUGAGGCAUGAAAGCGUGGGGAGCAAACA
rnacentral:rRNA from 1 species